GACGUAGGGCGCGAGCGUUGUCCGGAUUUAUUGGGCGUAAAGAGCUCGUAGGCGGCUUGUCGCGUCGGCUGUGAAAUCCCGUGGCUCAACUGCGGGUCUGCAGCCGAUACGGGCAGGCUAGAGUUCGGUAGGGGAGACUGGAAUUCCUGGUGUAGCGGUGAAAUGCGCAGAUAUCAGGAGGAAGACCGAUGGCGAAGGCAGGUCUCUGGGCCGAUACUGACGCUGAGGAGCGAAAGCGUGGGGAGCGAACAGG
rnacentral:rRNA from 1 species